GGCUCCUUGUAAAUUAAAAAUAAGGAGUCGGACCUGCCCGGUGAAAUUUUUUAACGGCCGCGGUACUCUGACCGUGCAAAGGUAGCAUAAUAAUUUGCCUUAUAAUUGAAGGCUGGUAUGAAUGGUUUAACAAGAACAUUACUGUCUCUUUAUAGUUUGUUAGAAAUUUAUUUUAAGGUGAAGAAGCCUUAGUAAAAUUGAUAGACAAGAAGACCCUAUCGAGCUUUAAAAAAAUUAAAAGAAUCGAUUUAAUAUCUUUAAAAAAUAAGCUUUUAAACAUUUUGGUUGGGGCGACUGAGGAACAAAAAAAGCUUCCUUUAUAUACUUUAAACAUACAGGUUUUGAUCCAAAAGUUUUGAUUAAAGGAAAUAGUUACCGUAGGGAUAACAGCAUUAUCUUUCUUGAGAGCUCUUAUCGAAAGAGAGGUUUGUGACCUCGAUGUUGGACCAGAAUAUCCUAAAGGUGCAGAAGCCUUUAAGGGUUGGUCUGUUCGACCAUUAAAAUUCU
rnacentral:rRNA from 1 species